rfam:Sphaerochaeta globosa str. Buddy, complete genome.
AUGACGGAGAGUUUGAUCCUGGCUCAGAACGAACGCUGGCGGCGCGUUUUAAGCAUGCAAGUCGAGCGGCAAGGGCCUUCGGGCCCCUAGAGCGGCGGACGGGUGAGUAACACGUGGACAAUCUGCCCCCCGGUCCGGGAUAGCCCAGGGAAACCUGGAUUAAUACCGGAUGAGACGGGACCCGCGAGGGCGGGAUCCGGGAAAGGCGCUACGGCGCCGCCGGGGGAUGAGUCUGCGUCCCAUUAGCUAGACGGCGGGGUAACGGCCCACCGUGGCGUCGAUGGGUAGCCGGCCUGAGAGGGUGAACGGCCACAUUGGAACUGAGACACGGUCCAGACUCCUACGGGAGGCAGCAGCUAAGAAUCUUCCGCAAUGGGCGAAAGCCUGACGGAGCGACGCCGCGUGAAACGAGAAAGGCCGUGAGGUUGUAAAGUUCUUUUUCGGGAGGGGGAACAACCGUGGCAGGGAAUGGCCGCGGGAUGACGUGAAUCCCGGAAUAAGCCCCGGCUAACUACGUGCCAGCAGCCGCGGUAACACGUAGGGGGCGAGCGUUGUUCGGAAUCAUUGGGCGUAAAGGGCGUGCAGGCGGUCCUGCAAGUCCGGCGUGAAAUACCCCGGCCCAACCGGGGGGACGCGCUGGAAACUGCAGGGCUUGAGUACAGGAGGGGAUGCCGGAAUUCCAGGUGUAGGGGUGAAAUCUGUAGAUAUCUGGAAGAACACCAAUGGCGAAGGCAGGCAUCUGGCCAUGUACUGACGCUGAGACGCGAAGGUGGCGGGGAGACAAACUAGGUUUAGACUACCCUGGUAGUCCGCACAGUAAACGAUGUGCACCAGGUGGCGGGGGGUCGACCCCCGGUACCGUAGCUAACGCAUUAAGUGCACCGCCUGGGGAGUAUGCUCGCAAGGGUGAAACUCAAAGGAAUUGACGGGGGCCCGCACAAGCGGUGGAGCAUGUGGUUUAAUUCGAUGGUACGCGAGGAACCUUACCAGGGCUUGACAUACGCUGGAAGCGCACCGAAAGGUGCGUGCCGCUUGCGGCCGGCGUACAGGUGCUGCAUGGCUGUCGUCAGCUCGUGCUGUGAAGUGUUGGGUUAAGUCCCGCAACGAGCGCAACCCCUGCUGUCUGUUGCCACCACGUGAAGGUGGGGACUCAGGCGGAACUGCCGGUGACAAACCGGAGGAAGGUGGGGACGACGUCAAGUCAUCAUGGCCCUUAUGUCCUGGGCUACACACGUGCUACAAUGGCCGGUACAGAGCGCAGCGAGGCCGCGAGGCGGAGCGAAUCGCUUAAAGCCGGUCCCAGUACGGAUUGGAGUCUGCAACCCGACUCCAUGAAGUUGGAAUCGCUAGUAAUCGCGCAUCAGCAUGGCGCGGUGAAUACGUUCCCGGGCCUUGUACACACCGCCCGUCACACCAUCCGAGUCGGGGGUACCCGAAGUCGCCAGCCCAACCCGCAAGGGGGGGCGGUUCCGAAGGUACGUCCGGUGAGGGGGGUGAAGUCGUAACAAGGUAGCCGUACCGGAAGGUGCGGCUGGAUCACCUCCUUU